GGAGCGGUGAAGGAGGAUUCUGGCUGAGACAUCUGUCACCCCAUUGAUUGCCAGGGUUGAUUCAGCUGAUCUGGCUGGCUAGGUGGGUGUCCCCUUCCUCCCUCACCACUCCAUGUGCAUCCCUCCCGAAGCUGCGCACUUGGUGGAAGAGGACGACCAUCCCAGAUAGAAGGAGUGUACUGAUCUUUGGUCAAGGGUAUACCGUAGCUGCCCUCACCUGCUAGAACCUCCAAACAAGCUCAAUCUCAAGCACCCCUUCCUCCUACUAUUUUUUUUUAUUUUUUUUAUUUUUA
rnacentral:snRNA from 1 species